ACAUCAGCUGGGGCAGAAUAAAAAAUUACUAAAAAAAAAUCUUCUCAAAAUUACGGAAAUCGAGCGGCGGCGGCGGCGGCGGCUCCCCCCGCCCGCCGGCCCGCCCGCCCCCUCCCCGGCUCCCCGGCCCCGGGCGCAGCGCGCAUGUGUCCUGCUAUAAUUAUGAUUAUCAAUAAUGCAUUGCGAUUAAUCAUAGAGGGGCUCUUUGAAAGGCGAUUGGCACCGGGCCAGCGCUAUUCAAACCCGCUCGCCUUAAUCAAUUAGUUCGUGAUUUGCUGCAGACCCCUGUCUCUCCGCGCGCUGGCCCAAUAAGCCGGCCGCGGGGCUGGCUCUGCGCGCCGCGCCGCCCGACACUGGGUUAACCCUCUUCGCGACCGCCCGGGACUCCGGGGCCCGGCCGCCGCCGGCCUUCCUCUUCGCCUGUGCGCGCCCGCGCCCCGGCCUGCGUUCCCCCCCCCCCCGACCCCCCCCAUCCCGGGCUGGGCCGACCCGAAUUAGCAUGCCCUCCCCGGAAUUAAGCCUCCCGAGUGGGGGGUGGGGCCGGGCGGCGGGGGCUGGAGACCCAGGCUGCGGGCGCUAGGCGAACUUCCCAACUCCGGCGCUAGGCGCGCCGGCCCGCGGGGGGAGGGAGUCCCGUGGCGGGAUUUGGGGGGAGGAAGUCCCGUUUCGUGAGUGUUUCUUCGUUUCUUUAAGAGCUACCAGAAAGCAGCCCACCCCCACCCCAUAAAAAAAAAAAAAGCGAGUGGGGAAGAGCCAGCCCCACGCCGGUCCGCCUACUGCCCGCGGCCCGGCCUCCCUCCCGCUCGCCGCCUGGCUCGGCGCUCCUUCGCCCCGAGUUCUCCAUCCCCUGGAUCGCGGGCUCGCGGGGGCGCGGAGAAGAGGACCGAGGAAAGGACUCUCUGGAAGCUGCUGGAUCUUUCAGGAAAUGGUGGUUAAACAGAGCUGGACACAUGGAUGCAGCAGAGUCCCUGCCCUCAAGAGGACUAUAGACUGGCCGGGGAGACAGGUGCGCACACAGCCUCGAAGCCUUCCCAGGGACUUCUGAGGACUAAACCUGGCAGGUUCACCAUACAUCCUGGCAGUUUCCUACACGUGGGUAUCUGCAGAAUCUCUGCCGUGCUCCAGACCUGGCACUGCGUGGUGGUGGCAGGCGCUCUGCGGAUUUCCAACUAGACAGUCUUACUCAUCUUCGCGGCAAUGGUACUCGAUCAAAGCAGGCCGAACUGACCAAGACCGUGCAGUUUCCAGAGGCUGCAGCCUUUCUGUUGAGCUUCCACAGAGAAGCCCUCACGUUCCCCACCAGGCUGGUCCGUCCCUGAGUGGGGAUUAGACACGCUUUUGUAACUGAUGUCGGAACCGGCCAGGAGCGAGGAGUAGAGACUUACCCCGAUUUCCUAUGGAGAUCUGGAACCAGUGCAGCUAAUAGGAGAAGAAGGGACAAAUGACAGAGGAACCACUCAACAGGCCAGGCGAGUGUGUUUAUGUCUUACGGACUGAAUGCUGGUCGACGUUGUGCAGGAUAGCGGUGCUGCGGAGCUGGCCCCAGGGCAGGAAAAUGGGGUCUCCACAGCCAGAGUGCUCCUAGGCACGGAAGCCAGGGAGACAAGGGGCAGCACGAUCCCAGGCUCUGUGCCCAAGCGCAACACAGUAUUUUCGAAGGUUUGGUUGGAUGAAUCAAGGCCAAGGUGAGGCUACGAAUAAACCCUAUUCCCGA